UGGGAGCUGAUGGACUUCGUCAUAAAGGAAGAGGCAAUCCAGCACAUGCCGCUGACUUCACCUUCGUCUGAUGAGGUUGUAAUAUUCUUUUUUUUUUUUUUUAGUUUCUUGACUCCUUGAAUAGAAUUUGGUGGACAGACUGAGAGAAAGCCCAACACUGAAGAAAUUAAAACUUGUCCUCAAGGCCUGAAGGAUUAUACACCACAUGAACAGGGAAAGGAAGAGGCUUUGCUAUCUCUAAACCCACUAUAUGAAGAUUUGACUCAUGAUACCUUAAUGCACUGCCUUGAGGGGGAAAGGCUGCAGGGAUUGUCUACAAAAAUGGAACAAAACUCUUGUGACACUGUUUUUCCCUGCUGUCCUGCUGUAACCUCUGUCAGUGCCAAGCAGAGACAUCUACUAUAGCUGCUGGGACACACUGGCCUUUGCUUGAGAGACUCAGAAGAAAGAAAGAAAGAAAGAAAGAAAGAAAGAAAGAAAGAAAGAAAGAAAGAAAGAAAGAAGAGCAGAGUGGAGAAGGAGGAGGAGGUGCUGGGGAAAGCAUAGAUCCUGUUACGUUCCAAAGGAUGAGUCACUUCCUAGCAAUAAUCCGGAGAUGCUUAUUUAUUGCCCUUGCUCUGAUAUGAAGCUGGGCUUCAUUUCUCAGCUGGAGCUGGAGCGACCUAACUCCCUGCAUGCAGAGCCGCCUCCCCACCCCUCCCCUUCCCUCCCCCUCCCUUGGUGGGCCAUUAAUCAUUGCAGUCCUGUUACCCAGUGUACACAGAGUGGGAGUUUGUGCCUGCGAGUGGCCUUUAGCUGUCUCCAGUUCAAUGAAAUCACCUUGUGCGGAGACUCCUUUUAUGAGAGUUGGGUUUAUUUGUAACUAAACGACUUCCUCCGUUAUUUGAUAAGCUCAAAUAUUUGCUACUGAUAGUCUGAGAGUGUCACAUUUAUUAUCUCUCUCUCUUUCUUUCUCCUCCCCCAACACACAGGAAGGCAUUGCCUGGGUUCCUCUCCUGCAACAGGGUUUAGUUAACCCCUUGUUGGGCAAUGCAAAAAGAGGGAACUCUAAUAAUAAUAAUAAUAAUAAUAAUAAUAAUAAUACUCCUGACAUCGCAAUCGUGCUAAAAACAAAGUAUAGAUCAGCGAUGUUGCAAUCCCAGGUGACAGCAGAGCUGACGAAAAGCAACUGGAAAAGCUGCCAUGAUCCGAGGAUUUAAAGAUCGAACAGAAAACACUCUGGCACAAGCCAGUCAAGUGGUCCCAAUGGUGAUUGGCACACUGGGUGCAGUGCCUAAAUACCUUGGCCAGCACUUGAAAACAAUCAGCACAGACAAAAUUACCAUCUGUCAACUGCAACAGGCCUCCCUACUUUGGAUCUGCCACGUUAUUUGCCAAUGCAUUACAUAGUCCUAGACACUUGGGAAGUAUGUGAUGUGAUGAUCCAAUAAACAGCCAGCACAGUGAUCUUGUUUGCUGUGUACUAAUCUUGUUGUGUAUCAAAUGAUGAUGAUGAUAGCAUAGUUUUUCCUGCUUGGGAAAGGAACAGCCUGGGCAUAUAUAAUGUGAAGAAGUUAUAGUCCCACUUUAUCCUGCUUUGGUCAGACCUCAUCUGGAAUACUGUGUUCUGGACAUCACAGUUCAAGAGAGAUAUUGACAAGCUAGAGACAUCCAGAGAAAAGUGACCAACAUGGUCAAAGGUCUGCUGGGUAUGCUUAGCUUGGAGAAAAGAUGGCUGAGAGGAGACAUGAUAGCCAUGAUUAAAUAUCUGAAAGGAUGUUAUAAGCAAGAGGGAGAAGACUUAUUUUCUGCUGCACUGGAGACUAGUACAUGGAGCAACAGAUUCAAAUUGCAGGGGGGGGGGAAUUCACAUAAACAUUAGAAAGAACCUCCUGAUGGUAAGAGCAGUUUGGUAGCAGAAUAUGUUUCCUCACAGUGUGGUGGAGUCUCUUUCUCUGGAGAUUUUUAAGCAGGGCCUGGAUGGAGUGCUUUGAUUAUGUGUUCCUGAAUAGCAGGGGUUUAGACUGGAUGGCCCUUGCAGUCUUUUCCAACUCUAUUAUUCUAUGUGCUGAAAGCCAAGCAAUAGCUCCCCACCCUCUGCAGAAGAAGGUCUUCUGUGCUGUAUUUUUAUCCUUUUUACUGAUAUGGAGGAAUGACAGGCAGUGGCAGAAGGAAAGGAAUGCUUGAUUGUGUGACCUUGGGCACUUCACACACUCUCAGCCUCAGAGGACGGCAAUGACAAACCUCCUCUGAAUGAAUCUUGCCAAGAAAACUCUGUAAUGGGUUCCUCUGAGGAUCACCAUAGGAUGGAAACAAAGGCACAAAACAGGAAUGCUGAAUUGUUUUUCUGGCAAAAUAGAACUUAAGGCACAUUCAAUCUCAAACCAUUAUUAGAACAACAUAGCAAAAUUUAGGGAAGGCCUUUGUAAACCC